rnacentral:lncRNA from 1 species
AGCUGACAUCUUCAAUGUCGAACAAAACAACGAUUGAUUUAAUGAUGUCUUCAUUUUGUAGGAGCUCCAAAAAGAACAGUCAAUGUUAUCUAAGGCUGUCCAUUCUCCUUCUGUGAAGUGCAUUUGCUCGGUCAUCAACUUGGUUUAAAGAAAUGAUUGAGAGGCAGAGUAGGACCAGAAAUAAUGCAGUUCAUCAUCUUGAAAAAUAAAAAAGGCUUUCCUUCAGACCAGUACAUUGUCCCUGAGAAAAGAGACUUACAGUCAAUAUAUAGCAACCAAUUUGUUGAGCCAAUAAUCAGCACAUAUACUUCUCAACAUUUAAUUGCUAUCUAAUAAAAAAACUGAUUGGCAGGGACAUGAAAAAUAUGAUUACUUGUUGUCCAUGUGCAAAAAGAAUGCAAGAUUGGUAUCUAUUUUGGCAGUGGCGAAGACGGGGGUCGGCAGGGGACCUGCCCCCCUAAUCAGUGAUUUGCUCCUAAAUUUCCUAUAAACAGUGCUUUAUAUAUAUAUAUGAGGCCCAUCAUAAAGAUAACAUGAAGAAUCUCUAGAAAAGUGUCACUAAAAAAUACAUCUUGUCAAAAGAAACAGCACAAAACCUGUAGAGAACAAAAAUCUAAGGACAAGUCGAAAGAAUAAUGUGACGAGCGAAAGGACAGAAGAGGAUGGAAGAAGAACAAACGUCAAACACACGAACGGAGCAGAGGAAGCUACCCCAUCGCCGUAGACAAAAUGAAACAAUCGCCGACUGAGAUGAACAAAGAACUGGCGCGUGUGCCGGCAUCGUUGCUCUGGAUGCAGAGCUGACAAGAUGUAGGGCAAUGAUAGAUGUUAAUAGCACAAAAAAUAUUUAGCCAACCUCACUAACAAUGUAGUAAUUUACUAAAGGCACUCAAACAACAUUAGCGCCUAUGCUGUAGGAGUAUGCGCAUAUAACAUCUUCAAUAGUUACAUAAACCAAGGAAAUCAAGUUCAAUAUAUAUACAACGUGGCACAGUAGCGGCUAGGCAAGCUUCCAUGGACCGAACAGUGAUUCUGAUGUACAGAUAUGAGAUGUCCAGCUCUGGUUUGAGACUCGGUAGUAUCUCAGGGUACACAGAAUCAAUCAUAAUGUCAACCAAGAUAAAGUACUUCUGAGUUUUGGUAAGCAAAGAACAAAAUAACAUGUAAAUGUUGGCAAGAACAUAAGGGUAUGAAAUCAUGAGAUGCCAUCUGAAUUAAUAAAAGCGAGGAAAGGAGUUUCACUCUGGUGUUUUUAUUUCCAUACCUCUAGAGUCGUUGACAUCAACUUCUAUUCUCUCUUCCUUUGUGUGAGACUGCAUAAUAAAGUCAGAUUCAUACAUGAGCUUUUCUACAUGCAUAACUAAACAAAGAAAGUAAAGGGGGAAUGGAAAACAUGGAUCAUAUAUACCUAGCGGCAUGUCUAGAAGCAACAAUCAUAUUCCUUAGAAAAGAAACCGAAAGUUUUGUUCGAAGUGUUGCCAAUUGCAGUGCACAUGUUAAAAUAUCAAAUUGCAGACUACACAAGUAACUUCAAUAAUUAAGAGCUUGUGGAACUUCUUUCUUUAUUGCAUCAAGUUAACAGUGUAUAUAAUUACAAAAUUGAAAUUGCAUAUCUUGAUCCUAUAGAUCUGAAGAAAAUAAGGUUCUCCUGUGAGGACAAAACUACAACAAUCAUGGUGAGGUAAUCAAGAAAUUAGUACAAAAGCCUGAAGCUGGUCCGUUAUAGAACUCAGCUACAUCGUCAUCUGUUGCUGUUGUGGUCUCGUCGUUGGGAAGAACUGCUAGUUGAUCCUCAGCUUGUCUCUG